rnacentral:rRNA from 1 species
AGACCGAUAGCGAACAAGUAGAGUGAUCGAAAGAUGAAAAGCACUUUGAAAAGAGAGUUAAACAGCACGUGAAAUUGUUGAAAGGGAAGCGCUUGCGACCAGACUCGCCCGCGGGGUUCAGCCGGCAUUCGUGCCGGUGUACUUCCCCGUGGGCGGGCCAGCGUCGGUUUGGGCGGCCGGUCAAAGGCCCCUGGAAUGUAGUGCCCUCCGGGGCACCUUAUAGCCAGGGGUGCAAUGCGGCCAGCCUGGACCGAGGAACGCGCUUCGGCACGGACGCUGGACAUAAUGGUCGUAAACGACCCGUCUUGAAACACGGACCAAG